CCUACGGAGGGCUGCAGUGGGGAAUAUUGGACAAUGGGGGGAACCCUGAUCCAGCCAUGCCGCGUGUGUGAAGAAGGCCCUCGGGUUGUAAAGCACUUUCAGUGAGGAAGAACGCCUGGUGGUUAAUACCCAUCAGGAAAGACAUCACUCACAGAAGAAGCACCGGCUAACUCCGUGCCAGCAGCCGCGGUAAUACGGAGGGUGCGAGCGUUAAUCGGAAUUACUGGGCGUAAAGCGCGCGUAGGUGGCUUGAUAAGCCGGUUGUGAAAGCCCCGGGCUCAACCUGGGAACGGCAUCCGGAACUGUCAAGCUAGAGUGCAGGAGAGGAAGGUAGAAUUCCCAGUGUAGCGGUGAAAUGCGUAGAGAUCGGGAGGAAUACCAGUGGCGAAGGCGGCCUUCUGGACUGACACUGACACUGAGGUGCGAAAGCGUGGGUAGCAAACAGGAUUAGAUACCCGGGUAGUC
rnacentral:rRNA from 1 species